UUUUUGUUUCCACAAUAAUCAGUAAAGGCACAAAUGCAUAACCAAAAAUGAUACAUAAAUCAAAGAAAUAUACACAGAAGUAUACAUGCAUGUCCAACUACUUGUACCAUAUAAAACAGUGUAGUAAAAAUCUCUUCCUAGUCUGGUUCCUAUUAUCUUAGAUCACACAAUAUAUAAUGUACUGUUGCAGAGGGCAUAGGUCAUAG